CAGACAAAUUGAACAAGUCAACUCGCUUGCAAAAGAGUCAAGCGUUAUUUCAAAACAAAAGGUGGUGAAAUCUUCAUAUGACCUACUACUGGGACAGCGGCUUCCCACCAGCAUGCCGUUCAUCCAUCGCCUGGCGAUGAUGGAGUCCAGCCCACACACGAUGAUGUGGAACUCUGCAGGGAGACAAGUUCAAGUUUGGGAGAGGUGACUCACUCUGCUGAAGUUGACAUCUGACAGAGGAAAAACACACUUACGCCUGUAGAAGGACUCGUCAAAGUCCUGGAUUUUUUUGAAGUGUCUGAACGUGAAUCUGAUAAGGAAUUAAAAGCAUGUUCAUGUUCUUGCAAGUGUGAUAAGGUCAAGGUUCAUUGGAGACUCUGAGACUGUUCCAGACAGGAUACGGUACA